UGCUACGUCGACCGGGUUGUCCCCACCAGCACCCAUUCUCUCUCUCUCUCUCCUCAAUGCUGUCCUUAAUAUCACCGCUGUCAGAACAUUCCCACUCAGUCAACGAAGUAUUCACAUUCGUGUAGAAAGUGCGACGAAGAACUAUCUGAAAAUCGGCAUCCUACACAAAUUAUAACAAGAGAGCGAAAUGGCUGCUAGUCAAUAUUAUCAUGUACAGUGCACGCCCACCGUGUAUCCGGCCGAUCCUUUUGAUCCCGAGGCAGAUGCCAAUCUUCUACGAACUGCGAUGAAGGGUUUCGGGACCGAUGAACAGACCAUCAUCGAUGUUUUGGCUCAUCGGGGCAUCGUGCAGCGACUGGAAAUCGCUGACAAAUUCAAGACGAUGUACGGUAAGGACCUCAUCUCCGAAUUGAAGUCAGAGUUGUCCGGAAACUUCGAGAAGGUCAUUCUGGCCCUGAUGACACCUCUUCCCGAGUAUUACGCUAAGGAAUUGCACGAAGCCAUUUCCGGCAUGGGCACCGACGAGGGUGCACUCAUUGAGGUCCUCGCGUCCCUGAGCAACUAUGGCAUCAAGGCGAUAUCAGCCGUUUACAAAGAUAAGUACGACUCAGAACUGGAAGAUGAUCUUAAGAGCGAUACCUCUGGUUAUUUCAAGAGACUUUUGGUGUCAUUGUCUUGCGCCAGCAGAAACGAAAGUCCUGAUGUCGACGAGGCGGCCGCACGUCAAGAUGCAGAGAGACUUCACGAAGCGGGAGAGGGACAGUGGGGUACCGACGAGAGCACUUUCAACGCAAUCCUCGUUACUAAGAGUUACCCUCAAUUGCGAAGGAUCUUCAAGGAAUAUGAGAAUAUUUCCGGACACACCUUGGAGCAUGCUAUCAAGCGAGAAUUCUCUGGUUCUGUUGAAGACGGCUACUUAGCUGUGGUGAAAUGCGCUACCGACAAGACUGCUUAUUUCUCGGAAAGACUAUACAAAGCUAUGCGUGGAAUGGGCACGACAGAUUCAACGCUGAUCCGCAUCAUUGUAGCUCGAUCGGAGAUUGAUCUGGGCGAUAUUAAAGAUACAUAUGAGAGACUUUAUGGGAAAUCCCUUGCAGCAGCUAUCGAUGACGACUGUUCAGGCGACUACAAGAGACUCUUGCUUGCUCUUCUCGGAUGAAAAUAUUUUAAUCGUGCAACAGCCUUUUUUUAUUGAAAAUUCGCGGAGAUUAUAUAGCGUUAUAUAUUAUACUGCAAAGAUCUUGAUUAAUUUAUAGUUCCUUAUAUUUCGCUGAUUGUUAAUGGACGAUUGCACCGCCGAGUGGAAAAGACUUUUGAUAGCAAUGUUGAAUUAAAAGUAUCUACAACUUGUGCGAGAUAAUUAUAAUACAAAAAAAUUAUGUUUGAAACAAUGGAGUAUAAGUGUAAAAAGAAACAUUUGUAAUGUGUAAUCAGUCAUUUAAUUAAUAAUAGGUACAGAUCUACAAGAGCACAGAAAUAAAAUGUAAUGUUUGUAACAAAAUAUAAAGAACAUAAAAUAUUACAGUAUUACUUUGCAUAAACAAAUAUAAAAAAACGUUAUAUUAUAUAAAGUUUAAAUUACCAUGCAAGUAUAAAAGCGAAAAUAAAAGAAGCAUCUUAGAUGUACUUUGCAUUGACAUAUUCUGAAAAAAAUGUAGUUUAUAAAUAUGAAAAACUUACAAUACUUCGUAUAGAGAUUCUUUGUACUGAAUACAUUAUACCAUAAUUACACUAGGUGUAUUUAUUUUUGUUAUUUUGCGAAAGAACGGUAACAGAUUGUUUUUAACCUCGUUUUUUACAUAUUCAGUCUUCUUACUUAGUUCAGUCUGGACACAACCUAAAUGUAUUUUAGUAAUUUUGAGUUUCAUUAUUUUUCCCAAAAUCUCGAAACACGCGCGAAACUUAUCGUUUUUAAUCGGUAUGUGUAUAUCAUAAAUAUGUAAGCAAAUUUCAAUGUCCAAUGCAUCUACAAUGUCCUCCCCAAAGCAAAUAGGUGGUGGAUUUCGUGCUAAAAAUAUAUAUUCUAUUUAAUAAAAUA